GACAGAGGAGCCAAGCGUUGUCCGGAUUGACUGGGCGUAAAGCGCACGCAGGCGGUCGUGCACGUGGGGUGUGAAAACUGGCGGCUUAACUGCCAGAGGCCACCUCAUACGGCGCGACUCGAGCCCCUGCAGAGGUCCAUGGAAUUGCCGGUGUAGUGGUGAAAUGCGUAGAGAUCGGCAGGAACACCCAGGGGGAAACCAGUGGACUGGGCAGGAGCUGACGCUCAGGUGCGAA
rnacentral:rRNA from 1 species